CCCUCCCUCCCUCCGACCUUUCAUCUCUCCAGCCUACCUGCCCGGCGGCGGUUGCUCGGCGGCCACCGUACCCGCGAAAUGCGAGCAUUCAACGGCCGCCGCCUCCACGAUCCGAAGCCCCCCUCAUUCCUCCCCCUCCCCUUAGCCCCACGCACCACAACGCCGCCACCGCCGCCCCCCUCCUCGCCGCCGCACGCCAUCCCGCCGCUCAACUUCCGCUACCUCACCCCCUGUCCGCGCUGGUCUGCCUGGGUCGCCACCGCACUCAGCGACCCCGUUUUCGCUCCCAUCCUCGCCUCGUCCGCCAUCUCCGGCGCCGUCGCCGCCUCCACCGCCGUCGUCUCCCCCGACCGUGCGGCCCUCUCCGCUCUGCUCUCGCUCUGGGACCCGGAUACCCACGCGUUCCGUCUCCCAGCGGGCCCCGCCACCUUCACACUCGAGGAUGCGCUCGUCCUCGCUGGUCUACCGCCCGCAGGCGCGCCGCUGGACCGGACCCUCACGCCAGAGGAGGAUGACCUCCGCGUUCGCCUCGUUGUCGAGAGGGAGAAGAUCAAGGAGCUCCACCCCUGUGCCCGCGCCGCGCGCCGCGUGUCUGCGGAGGUGUGGCUCGAGUGGUUCGACGGCGGUGGCAUACGCCCCGGCGAGGACGACGAACUGCGGUGGCUUGGGUUCCUCGCUUACUGGCUCGCUUUUUUUGUUACGCCAAGGCUCCGGUCAAGGGGUGGCGAGCUGCCGGAGCGCGUCUUCGCACAUGCUGCGAGGCUUAGUCUUGGCGAGCGCAUUGCCCUUGGCCAGGGGAUGGUGGCAAAUCUAUAUGCGGAAAUGGAUAAGAUUGUUACUUGCACUGUGGCCGAUGGUGUGUGUGGCCGUCUAGAUGUCUGCGUGCCAGUCUGGAUGCUGCAGGUGUGGAUGUGGGAGCGCUACAAGAGGCUGUGCCCGCCGGAGCUGAAGGCACCGCAGUUCCCUGUCUCCAAUGUCAGGGUAUUGUAUUGGAGCCGGAGGAAGAAGAAGAGCACAUCUGAAGAGGCUCUAAAGAUUUUGCUGGACGAAGUAUGCUUUGAGUGGAGGCCCUAUCGGCACAACUCCCUCAACUGGAUGGAACCCAAGUGGUUCAACAAGGACACCAUUUUGGUGACCUGUCAUGGUAAAGAUAAGCCAGAGUGGUUGUUGGAUUACAUUGCUGUUAUCAGUCAAACAAUGUUGACCGGGUUUCAUAGUGAUGACACCGACAAUUCAGUACUGUACAAUCCACAGCUUGUUGCGAGACAGUUUGGUUAUGAUCAGGCUGCUCCUGUGUCCAUUGUCAGGGAAAUCCACUUUGAGGGAAUCGAGUUGUGGAUACCAAGUAUCGGUAGAUAUGGGAUGCCUGGUGAAGAUUAUGUUGCAUGGUGUAGCAGCAGUGGGCAGUUCUACAAGCAUCAAAAUGAUGUCCAAUAUGGUUGCUCGGUAUUACGAAAUCAUGAAAAUGGGGCUAUUUCGUCGCAACUGAAUGUAAAUGAGAAAUGUGUUGUAGUGCCAACACUUGAUCAAUUUAUCACCCAAGUCACUAGGAGAGACCACAUCAAUUACAUUGUAGAAGGGCAGCCGGAGAAAAUGGAUAAUGGAAGUCAUGAGGAUGAAACAGAGGUGAUUGUCUGUGGCCUUGAAGCUUGUGUCAAGGAUAGCAGAACUACUUCAGUGAAACAGAAUGUGCAGAAACAAAGAGAUAAAUUUGCUGAAGAUGGAGGUGAUAGUAAGAAGAAAAGAAAAGUAGAAAGUAACACGAAAAGGAGUUCGUUGCAAUUGGAAGGUCAGAAGUAUUCUUCACUCCAGAAAGCUCUAAAUUCUGAUUCUAAGAAAUGUGAGGAGUUGGCUCAAGUUGACAGUGAUGAUGAAUGCAUUGUUCUCGAACAGCCCAAGAAUAAAUGUGAAGUAAUAAACCUGGAUGAUGAUGAGGAACAGAGUGUUUCUAAUCGAGAACAUCAUAACAUGCAACUUGUCCUAGAACUGGAAGAGUUUGUCCGCUCUGGUCUUCUCUCGCAAUGGGAGGAAAGCUCAGAUGAAGAUGAUGUAAGUGGAAGCAAGCAAGAAACCCAGAAGAAAAGCAACAAUGACCCCUAUGCUGAAGCAGCCAUGAGGGAGUACCCUCUGUUCUUUGAGUUCAUUCCUCAGAAACCACAUUACAGAGGCUUCGUGAACUAUGAUGAAACUUUAGGAGAUCUACCUUACAGUGGAUUAUGGUUUUUGCUAAUUGGCUUGGCUAAGGAGGUGCUCAAGACGUCAUGUGACACAGAUGCUUCUGAAAUUGCAUAUCUGAUGAAAAAAGCCCAGCAUUUAGAGCAACUGGGUUUCAACGUGACACAUCUCAUUGCCCGCUUAAAGGAGCCACAAAUUAGGCUUAAGAAGCUUCAAGAUUCUAGAGCAAGGCUUGAUCAUGCCCGUGAGAAAGAGGAGGGCAACGUAGUCGAGUCUCUUUCAAGCCAUCUGAAUAAACUGAAGGGCAACAUAAGGAUGAUGGAUAGUCAUCUGGAUGGAACGAAGCAAGCUUUUAUUUCAAAUAUACAAGAUAAAUUGAAUGAAGGAAUUAAUCUUGCCAGUUUGGAAAAGGAAGUAGAAACUGCUGAAAAAUGUUGUCAGGCAAUGAAGGAUGAAGUAGCUGCAAUGAGAAUGAGGCUUUCUGUGUGCUCCUGGAUAAGCAAUUGCAGUCUGGAAGGAUAAGGAAGUGUCCUACCGAAAAAGGAAAAGGCAAAGGCAAGGACUACUGUACAUAGGACGAGAUCACAAAACUUAAUAAACUUCUCAGAAUACUUGUUCAGGCAUGCAGAACGUAAUUGCAUUCUUCUGUGUAAAUAUGAAGCAUGAAUGUGCAUCUACUGCAAGCAAUAGCUCAUUUGAACAGCAGACUAGAGAACAAACGUGGGCCGAAAAAUGAUCAGAAAUAGAGACAACACUGAUUUUUAGGAAGGAGGAUCUUGAACUUGUUGAUUCGGUUUUGUAGUUGGCAAGGAAUGAGUCAAAAAGCAAAUGUAUAUCCUCUCCUGGUAUAGCCAUUAUCAGGCCCUGUCCCUUCUGGUAAGGCUUGCAAUAUUUCGUGGAUUAUGAACCCAGGUCGCUUUGAUGAUAUUUACUUGCAAUUGUUCAUAAUCUUUAUGUGGGAUUAUUAAUUUCUGAUUUUAAUACUACCUGAAGUUUCUUCUUGGCUAAAGGGCAUUGCCAUAAUGCCAUUUCCCUUGUGAAACGAUGGGACCUGUUGUAUGGUGGAUUUAUUGCUUCCCACUAUAUUCUCACAGUAUUGUAUAAGAAAAUUUCUUUAUAUAAUCUCUUUAAACAUGCACAGGAGUAAAUGUCGUAUUGUAGCUUUAUAAUCACAUUUGAGCAAAUUUCAUGUGUUGGAGAAUGUCAUAUUGUAGCUUUAUAAACAUACUUGAACAAUCCCUUUGUUAAGUUUGUGGAUCUCAAUUUGUGCUAACUUCCCAUCAUGGAUUAGAAAUCAAAACUGAAGUAUGUUGAUAAACUGAUCAAUGGAUUGGCACCUGUUAAAUGAACUGAGCAGGAAUGCAUCGAUACAUUCAGAACUGUCAUUUUCAGGUGCUUGGAGUUUACAACGAAUGACUAUGUAGAAAACAACAAAUGUACAUCCUCCUAUCAAAAUAAAAAUGUAUACCCGCCUAGUAUUGUGUCGACUGCCAUUCUGCCAUCUGCUCCCAGUCAUUAUGAGACACCUGGUCUGUCAUGGUAAGGCUGCCAAUCUUUCAAACUAAGAUCUCCUCUGAUGAUAUCCGCUUCGAAUUGUUAAUACUCUACAAUAGUGUUUGGUUCAUAAAUUUGUAAUGCCAUUUGAUUACAGGGGUAACAGAUAUUGCUAGAUUCUGUUUGUUUCAGAUCAGCAGUAAUCUGAUCACACUGAGAUGUGAGAUCCGAUGCCAGCCUGUGGGAACUUGUUACCGCUGCCCCACGAACGUGAAGCGUAAAGCGUUACAAUCCCGUCAUCGUCUUCUCCGUCUCCACAUCCUUUCAGCCAUGGAUAGCAGCAUAGCUCCACAUACUCCUAUGGCGUUCUGUUUGUCUUGGCCGCUGCCAUCGACCAAGGUGCCACUGGCUGCCACCAUGGUCGCCAUUGUGCUACGUCUGACAUCUUGCUGCAGACUGCAGAGCUUGUGGGCUUUGUUACUCAGUUUUUGUUACCCAUUUACGUUACUGAGUGGAAACCAUCCCGUUACUUUGUUACAAUGACGUUUAUGUCACAUUUUCUGAACCAAACAGCACCUAAUACAAGUUAAUUUCUCCUCGGCUAAAGUGAGUUGCCGUAUCCUUAGUGAAAUGAUAGAAUCUUGUAUGGUGGAACCAAUGUUUCUCAUUAUAUUCUUUAAUGUACUGACGUUGCGAACUA